rnacentral:rRNA from 1 species
UACGUAGGGUGCAAGCGUUGUCCGGAAUUAUUGGGCGUAAAGAGCUCGUAGGCGGUCUGUUGCGUCGCUGUGAAAACCCGGGGCUCAACCCCGGGCCUGCAGCCGAUACGGGCGGACUAGAGUUCGGCAGGGGAGACUGGAAUUCCUGGUGUAGCGGUGAAAUGCGCAGAUAUCAGGAGGAACACCGGUGGCGAAGGCGGGUCUCUGGGCCGAUACUGACGCUGAGGAGCGAAAGCGUGGGGAGCGAACAGG